rnacentral:lncRNA from 1 species
AUGGCAGUUUUCCUGGCUGGGCUGCUUGCCUGGACAUGCUACCUUCUUGUGAAAUACACCAGCAUUACAGCCAGGUGCCAAAAACUGACCAAGGAGCUCUCUAAGCCAAAAAGCAAAGGAAAGAAGUACAUAGCUGGAAACAAAAAUACCAAUGAUGAUAUGGUAACAAGAAACAGGGAUAAACAAGUUGAAGUGGUAACUUCCAGGCUGAUGAACUGUUCCUCUGACAAAGGAGAUGCAUGCCACCUUCUGUAGGAGAUCUGAAAUGCAGAGAACAGUGAGUGGAGCUGCAAACGACAGACAUGCUGGUGAGAGGCUCACCACCCGUUGGAAGGGGAGCUACCUGUUGGAAGGCAACACUAGUAGGGAGCAGUGACUCGUGA